rnacentral:rRNA from 1 species
CGAGCACGCGCGUGUGGCAUAUCAAUAAGCGGAGGAAAAGAAACUAACAAGGAUUCCCUUAGUAACGGCGAGUGAAGCGGGAAGAGCUCAAAUUUGAAAUCUUCAAGGUUCUACCUUGACGAAUUGUAGUUUAUAGAAGUGUUUUCUGUUAGUAGAGUGGCAAAAGUUCUUUGGAAUAGGACAUCAUAGAGGGUGAGAAUCCCGUAUUUGGUCAUUCCUUCUAGCGUUGUGAUACACUUUCAAAGAGUCGGAUUGUUUGGGAAUGCAGUCCAAAAUGGGUGGUAAAUUUCAUCUAAAGCUAAAUAUUGGCGAGAGAUCCGAUAGCGAACAAGUACCGUGAGGGAAAGAUGAAAAGAACUUUGAAAAGAGAGUUAAACAGUACGUGAAAUUGUCAAAAGGGAAGCGUUUGACACCAGUGUUGUUUUUCCGAAAAUCAAUUACGAAUGUUUUAGUUUUUGAGGAGUUAUGACUUCAUCGGCUUGCUUCUCUCUUUACGAAACUUUCUUAAUGCACUUUUCGGUUAACAAGUCAACAUCAAUUUCUUUUGUUGUAAAAGGGUAUGAGGAAGGUGGCUUUCUUUUCGGAGAAAGUGUUUAUAGCCUUGUGCCUCUGCAAUCGGAGAGAUUGAGGUCUGCAGCGUAGAUCCUUCGGGGUUAGAUACGUUUGUGCUAAGUUAUAGCUUUUCAUAGACAACUUGUUGACUAUGUUUAGUCUUGUAGCUUACUCGCUGACGCUAUUUUACCUACGCUUAGGAUGUUGAUGUGAUACUGCGAGCA